rnacentral:rRNA from 1 species
UACGUAGGUGGCGAGCGUUGUCCGGAUUUACUGGGCGUAAAGAGCGCGCAGGCGGUCGGAUCAGUCGAAUGUGAAAGCCCCCCGGCUUAACUGGGGGAGGGUCAUUCGAUACUGUUCGACUCGAAGGCAGGAGAGGGAAGUGGAAUUCCCGGUGUAGUGGUGAAAUGCGUAGAUAUCGGGAGGAACACCAGUGGCGAAGGCGACUUUCUGGCCUGUUCUUGACGCUGAGGCGCGAAAGCUAGGGGAGCAAACGGGG